GCUGAAGCUGAAGCUGGAGAUGAUGACGUCACAUACAGUGAAGUCACCAUAUCACGUAACCUGCAGCAGCCAAUCAGACGGAGCAGAGAGAGUGAUCCUGCUGUAAUCUACUCCGGAGUGAGAACAGAAGACGUCUGUUACGGACAAAUAGUGAACAAAGACAAGAAGUCAAACAGGAAGAGAGAGAGUGAUCCUGCUG